ACGAACGCUGGCGGCGCGCCUAACACAUGCAAGUCGAACGAGAGAUGAGGAGCUUGCUCUUCAAAUCGAGUGGCGAACGGGUGAGUAACGCGUGAGGAACCUGCCUCAAAGAGGGGGACAACAGUUGGAAACAACUGCUAAUACCGCAUAAGCCCACGGCUCGGCAUCGAGCAGAGGGAAAAGGAGCGAUCCGCUUUGAGAUGGCCUCGCGUCCGAUUAGCUAGUUGGUGAGGUAACGGCCCACCAAGGCAACGAUCGGUAGCCGGACUGAGAGGUUGAACGGCCACAUUGGGACUGAGACACGGCCCAGACUCCUACGGGAGGCAGCAGUGGGGAAUAUUGCACAAUGGGGGAAACCCUGAUGCAGCGACGCCGCGUGGAGGAAGAAGGUCUUCGGAUUGUAAACUCCUGUUGUUGAGGAAGAUAAUGACGGUACUCAACAAGGAAGUGACGGCUAACUACGUGCCAGCAGCCGCGGUAAAACGUAGGUCACAAGCGUUGUGCGGAAUUACUUGGUGUAAAGGGAGCGCAGGAGAGAGAACAAGUUGGAAGUGAAAUCCAUGGGCUCAACCCAUGAACUGCUUUCAAAACUGUUUUUCUUGAGUAGUGCAGAGGUAGGCGGAAUUCCCGGUGUAGCGGUGGAAUGCGUAGAUAUCGGGAGGAACACCAGUGGCGAAGGCGGCCUACUGGGCACCAACUGACGCUGAGGCUCGAAAGUGUGGGUAGCAAACAGGAUUAGAUACCCUGGUAGUCCACACCGUAAACGAUGAUUACUAGGUGUUGGAGGAUUGACCACUUCAGUGCCGCAGUUAACACAAUAAGUAAUCCACCUGGGGAGUACGACCGCAAGGUUGAAACUCAAAGGAAUUGACGGGGGCCCGCACAAGCAGUGGAGUAUGUGGUUUAAUUCGACGCAACGCGAAGAACCUUACCAAGUCUUGACAUCCCUUGACGAUGCUGGAAACAGUAUUUCUCUUCGGAGCAAGGAGACAGGUGGUGCAUGGUUGUCGUCAGCUCGUGUCGUGAGAUGUUGGGUUAAGUCCCGCAACGAGCGCAACCCUUAUGGUCAGUUACUACGCAAGAGGACUCUGGCCAGACUGCCGUUGACAAAACGGAGGAAGGUGGGGAUGACGUCAAAUCAUCAUGCCCUUUAUGACUUGGGCUACACACGUACUACAAUGGCGUUAAACAAAGAGAAGCAAGACCGCGAGGUGGAGCAAAACUCAGAAACAACGUCCCAGUUCGGACUGCAGGCUGCAACUCGCCUGCACGAAGUCGGAAUUGCUAGUAAUCGUGGAUCAGCAUGCCACGGUGAAUACGUUCCCGGGCCUUGUACACACCGCCCGUCACACCACGAGAGUUUGUAACACCCGAAGUCGGUGAGGUAACCUUUUAGGGGCCAGCCGCCUAAGGUGGGAUGGAUGAUUGGGGUG
rnacentral:rRNA from 1 species